AUUGAACGCUGGCGGAAUGCUUUACACAUGCAAGUCGAACGGCAGCACGGGUGCUUGCACCUGGUGGCGAGUGGCGAACGGGUGAGUAACAUAUCGGAACGUAUCCAAUAAUGGGGGAUAACUAAUCGAAAGGUUGGCUAAUACCGCAUACGCCCUACGGGGGAAAGCUAGGGACCUUCGGGCCUGGCGUUAAUGGAGCGGCCGAUAGCUGAUUAGCUAGUUGGUGGGGUAAGAGACCACCAAGGCGACGAUCAGGAGCUGGUCUGAGAGGACGACCAGCCACAGUGGAACUGAGACACGGUCCAGACUCCUACGGGAGGCAGAAGUGGGGAAUUUUGGACAAUGGGCGCAAGCCUGAUCCAGCCAUUCCGCGUGAGUGAGGAAGGCCUUCGGGUUGUAAAGCUCUUUCGCAAGGGAAGAAAACUUAUCCUCUAACAUAGGGUGAGGUUGACGGUACCUUGAUAAGAAGCACCGGCUAACUACGUGCCAGCAGCCGCCGUAACAC
rnacentral:rRNA from 1 species